CACAAUACACAUGGAUGGCGCCCCUGCCCGCCUGCUACGCGUCGCCAGCACCCACAACGCCUCCCAGGUCCCCGGCAUCGGCUUCGCCUGACCACGUAGAAGCGCAUGGACAGCGCCAGUGCUCCUCGGUGCCACGCAUCGGUUUCUUCCGGACAUCCACUUCCAACGGCCAGCAUCGGCUUUGGCCGGCAGCGGAUGCCCUCCACAACCACCCCGCGCCCGUCACAUCUCCUCCUAGGAUCUUGCUGCUACUCCUCGUCUAGCCCCUCCUUCCUUUGCUUCGGCAUGGAGCCUGACGAGCCGUUCAGCGUGUCUUGAAGUGGUAGAGUACAAAAUCCGCCUGAAUGAUUCGCGGCCGGUCUAACUGCUCCCCACGGCAAGAGAUUAAGUCCCAGAACUAAGGUGAGGUUAUUCUGUUAAAAGUGAAUAAAAUUGUAUACUUGAUUUCCUGCCCACAUUUUACAAGUAAGGAACCGUUGAUUUGGGAUCCAUCUCGAUGGCCCAUAAGAUAAAUCAUCUCACCCUACCAUGAUUAAGUACCGCGUGCUUUUGUAGUUUUAUCUGUUCCACGCUUAACAUGGCCAUUAUUAGCCUCUAUUCCCAGAACGUUUGUAGUUUCUAGACCUAUUUUUUAUUCCGCAAAUCAUAUUUUUGUCAAUGUUUCUAGAGCAGGAACAUGCCUUUUCAAUCGAUUAAUUUGGUAUCUCUAAACCUUUAGUACCAAUCCUGCUUACUGAAUGGCUUCAAAUUCAAACAAGCUUUGAAGCCCUGGAUCCGAACGAGCCACACAAUUUGUUGUUUCUGUAUUAAGCAUUUGAAAGUUCAGGUGGUGCUAUCUUCUAUUUUUAGUUACUCAUGUGUUCUCAACAUAUUUUGGAAUAAUCAAAAUAUAUUGAUGUUGCAGUUUACUUUUGUCUAGAUUAUGGGGUAAAAAAGCUUUUGUAUGGAUUAGUUCUUUUCCAAUGAUUCUCAUGUUUAAUGUUGUGAGUUACUUCCAUAUAUGUGCACACCCGAGAGUGUUGACAAGUAUAGGUCUGAACAGUUGAAGGAAGAUGAUACAACAAUAGUUGAAGGAAGGUCAACCUAUUUUUCCAUCCAAUUCUCAUAAGUCUUCCAUGGACCUAAAAAUAUUACUAUGAAACAAGAUACAUAUUGUUUAAAAGUUGCCAAAAUUCGAGUGGAUAAACAUUAGGGCUCAUCACUCCUUAUGUUUGCUAACCUCUAUCUUAAAUCUAUUUCCUUGUGAGUUUUAUUUUUUAUCUACGGUGGUUGUACUCUCGACUGCGAAUUUACCUAUCUAUAUAAGUAAGAACAUAACCUCUAAUUAUCCUUACAGAUUGUUAUUGUUUGAUUCCUAUGGAUUGCUUCCAUUUUACACCUUUAAUCUAAUUAAUUAUGUUCAGCUUUGCGGAAUCAGUAAGAUUUACUUCACCAUUCUCUCUUCAUUGUUACAUUUGUUCGCUUUACGUACAUGCCGUUGUUUUGUAACACGUUAUCAUGACUUCCCAAACCAUGACUAUUACAUAAUUGCAAUAUUAACUAGAGUAGAAUAUUGAAUGGAUAUAGUAUGCUUAUGGACUGCCAUGUUCAACUAUUGACCAGAAGUUCAUCACCUUGGUAAGUUUAAAAGCUUUCUCCCUUCACUGGUCUUACCUUAUUAAGUCAAAAUUGGUUCGCCUUUUAUUUCAUCAUGAAACUUAUUUUUAUGCAAAUUGUUGUACAAACAUUGCCUUAACUAACUACACCAGGCUUUGGUUUUUAUAUGCAGAAAUUAUGGUACAAACUGAAUUGGCAUGUUCUGUUCUCACUCUCAUCAACUCUUGCACACUAUUUUUUUCACUUUUCAAGUGCCAGUGCUCUGUUUCUAUUAAAGGAGGUGAUUGUUUGUUGUCUUCGCGCGAUGAAGAUAAACAGUGAGCUACGAGCCUACGAUGUGGGCAACUAAGAAUCGCUACCACCUCUGAAACAAAUCUCCAAGGCCUAUUUGAUUUGCGGUAUAUUUAUUUGGUCUUGGUGGGUGAGAUGUUUUCGAUGCAUAAUUGGGUUGCAGGGCCAUGAUAUUUUGUCAGUGGGAACUUAAACCACUAGUGUUAAUAUUUUUUUGAAAGGAAACAUUAUGUAUCUUUCUAGCCUGUAGUGCAUUGUUUAAUCUCAUGAAAAGGUUUUAUUUUAGCCAAGAAAAGGUAUGGUUGACAAGUAUAUCCAAAUUAUUUAUAUUUCAUUUCUCUAACAUAUCGGAUUUUUCUUGCUACACUUCCCGCAAAUACGUGCGGGGUAUCAUCUAGUUAAAAUUAAUGAUUGAUGGUUGACGGAGUAAUUGACCACGGGUACCCCGAAGACGACAAGACAAUAUUUCAAGACAUCGGGGCUAGCAAAGCACCUCAGUCCGACUGCCCGGCUGCUCCUGCCGGCUGCCGACUGCGCCAACCAGCCGGCUGCCGACUGCAGCUCGACCCGACACCGACAAGACCCCGACGAGACGGCCAUACCGCGGACAAGACAACCGUACCGUGACGCCAUCAUGUAUAGUGUCACUUGUCUCCUGGCACUAUUUAUGAAGUGACCCAGGGGACAAGCUUGACAUGCACCAUGCCUUACCCAUGCCCACUACCAAGCUUACAUCCUAAGCUACCCUCUCCUAUAUAAAGGAGAAGACACACAUAGGCUCACACAUAUACAUGCCCAUGGACACACCCCUCACGCAUGCAUACAUGUUCACUCACGAUGGAGCACUCUCAUGCCCACUUGCUAGCUAGCUCAUACACACAUGAGACAUAUACAAGUCAGAUGCCCAUGGCACUGACCUCGGAUACAGCUCUAGGAGCACUUUGUAGUGCCCGAUGUACACCCCAGAUAUAUACUCAGACAUGCAGGAGUAGGG
rnacentral:rRNA from 1 species